AACGAACGCUGGCGGCAGGCUUAACACAUGCAAGUCGAGCGCCCCGCAAGGGGAGCGGCAGCCGGGUGAGUAACGCGUGGGAACGUACCUUUUGGUUCGGAACAACUCCGGGAAACUGGAGCUAAUACCGGAUAAGCCCUAACGGGGAAAGAUUUAUCGCCGAAAGAUCGGCCCGCGUCUGAUUAGCUAGUUGGUGAGGUAACGGCUCACCAAGGCGACGAUCAGUGGCUGGUCUGAGAGGAUGAUCAGCCACACUGGGACUGAGACACGGCCCAGACUCCUACGGGAGGCAGCAGUGGGGAAUAUUGGACAAUGGGCGCAAGCCUGAUCCAGCCAUGCCGCGUGAGUGAUGAAGGCCUUAGGGUUGUAAAGCUCUUUUGUCCGGGAAGAUAAUGACUGUACCGGAAGAAUAAGCCCCGGCUAACUUCGUG
rnacentral:rRNA from 1 species